CCUACGGGGGGCAGCAGUGAGGAAUAUUGGUCAAUGGUCGGGAGACUGAACCAGCCAAGCCGCGUGAGGGAUGACGGUACAGAGUAUCGUAAACCUCUUUUGUCAGGGAACAAAGGCGGGGACGCGUCCCCGGAUGAGUGUACCUGAAGAACAAGCAUCGGCUAACUCCGUGCCAGCAGCCGCGGUAAUACGGGGGAUGCGAGCGUUAUCCGGCUUUAUUGGGUUUACAGGGUGCGCAGGCGGUCUGUUAAGUCAGCGGUAAAAGCCCGGGGCUCAACCCCGGCCCGCCGUUGAAACUGGCAGUCUCGAGUUGGAGAGAAGUAUGCGGAAUGCGCGGUGUAGCGGUGAAAUGCAUAGAUAUCGCGCAGAACUCCGAUUGCGAAGGCAGCAUGCCGGCUCCACACUGACGCUGAGGCACGAAAGCGUGGGUAUCGAACAGGAUUAGAUACCCCAGUAGUC
rnacentral:rRNA from 1 species